rnacentral:rRNA from 1 species
CAGUAGCCGCGGGAAUACGAAGGGGGCUAGCGUUGUUCGGAAUUACUGGGCGUAAAGCGCACGUAGGCGGACAUUUAAGUCAGGGGUGAAAUCCCGGGGCUCAACCCCGGAACUGCCUUUGAUACUGGGUGUCUAGAGUAUGGAAGAGGUGAGUGGAAUUCCGAGUGUAGAGGUGAAAUUCGUAGAUAUUCGGAGGAACACCAGUGGCGAAGGCGGCUUACUGGUCCAUUACUGACGCUGAGGUGCGAAAGCGUGGGGAGCAAACAGGAUUAGAUACCCGCGUAGUCCCUGUCUCUUAUAC